GAUGUCUGCUCUUUUCUGAAGGGAAAUGGAGGAGGAGUGGACCUGAGGAAGACAGGAGGUGCGAAGAGAGGUAGGAAGGGAGGUUGCAGUCAGGAUGCAUUGUUUGAGAGGAUAAAGGAAAAAGAACCACCUCUCAAGCUACGACAACCAAGAGUUAAGAAACUGAAGAAGCAAAGAGUAUGUAUAGUAAGUCAAGACGACAAGAUCUACACCUUAGAAUUCUUCCUUCAGAUUGGGAAUUGUGAAGAGACAUUGGGGCUAGCCCUUUGCACACCUUCCAGGCAUUCUGUAAAGCAGAAAAUCACCAAUCCUCCACAUCUGUUUGCCUCAUCUGGAAGAGCCUUCCAGUCUCCGCAACAGAAGGCUCAUGCAAACUGGCCAAUAAAAUUCCUGAAAUUAUCAAGACAUGUGAUACUUGGGCAAAGAUUAAGAUAAGAUUUUCAUGGUUAAAUUCCUUCCACAUACACACACACAUUCUCUCAGAACACCACCGGUUACAGCCAAAAAUUUCAGGUAAAUCAGAAAAUGCCACACAGAGAGGGAUUGCAGUGAUUUAUUCCAUAAACAGCCAGUUGCUACACUGGAAUCCCUGACUCACUCAGCUUUGGGAUAGAAGUCUGGGCUCCCAUUUGCAUUCAUUUAAGUUGGAAUUAGCUGUUGGCCAGCCUGCCAGAGAGCACCCUACAUUGAACCCACAGCCCCCAAGCUUUCUGUAGAGCCCAAAGCAACAGAGUCACUGUAGAAAUGUAUUAUUCUUUCAGUUCCAUAAUUGUCAUGAUGGGUGAAAACCUGCUCUGUAAACCUAGAGACUGUAUACCAAAGACUCUGUGUGUGCUGGCAGGGUCCUCAUGUGUUAGCAGGGGAGUCAGAGUCCCUUCUGAAGAUUCUUAGCCACGUUAAUGAAGAAAUUAAAUCUGGAGAACAAUUUUGAUGGAGGUAAAAAGCAAGCAAAACAAAAAAAAUAAAAAAAAGAGAAACAAAAACA
rnacentral:lncRNA from 1 species